rfam:Cavia porcellus supercont2_32 genomic scaffold, whole genome shotgun sequence.
GGGGAUUUAGCUCAGUGGCAUGAGUGUCUGCUUUGCAAGCAGGCAGUCCUGAGUUCGAUCCCCG